rnacentral:rRNA from 1 species
AACGACGCUGGCGGCAGGCCUAACACAUGCAAGUCGAGCGCCCCGCAAGGGGAGCGGCGGACGGGUGAGUAACGCGUGGGAACGUGCCUCUUGCUACGGAAUAGCCUCGGGAAACUGGGAGUAAUACCGUAUGUGCCCUACGGGGGAAAGAUUUAUCGGCAAGAGAUCGGCCCGCGUUGGAUUAGGUAGUUGGUGGGGUAAUGGCCUACCAAGCCGACGAUCCAUAGCUGGUUUGAGAGGAUGAUCAGCCACACUGGGACUGAGACACGGCCCAGACUCCUACGGGAGGCAGCAGUGGGGAAUCUUAGACAAUGGGCGCAAGCCUGAUCUAGCCAUGCCGCGUGAGCGAUGAAGGCCUUAGGGUUGUAAAGCUCUUUCAGUGGGGAAGAUAAUGACUGUACCCACAGAAGAAGCCCCGGCUAACUCCGUG